UGAGAUAUAUUUUACAGAUAAAAAAGGGCGAAAUAUGCCCAAAAAUAAUCGAAAAUUAUGCUUGUGAAACACCCAAAAUCAAAAUUUAAGAAGCUGCUGAUCAAAGGUAUUUAUGGUCUAGCCUUUUUGGAAGCCGGCGCUUUUGCAAAACAAGAAGAUACCUAAAAGACAAUUAUCCUUAUAUAUUAGAAGCUUAUUACAAAGUUGGUGAGUAUUUUGGUGGAGCAGAGAACAAGACGAGAGAAUUUGAUCAGCGGAUUUGGGAUGCUGAAGCAUCUUUACAGAAUUAAUGGAAC